ACACCAAUUAUACCUCACCCCCUGCAAUUUGCUUGUACCCAUUUACAGCUGGGUCGACUGAGGCAGUCGUGAUAAAGUGCCUUGCCCAAGGACACACCGCAGUGGGAGUAGCCAGGAUUCGAACCAGGGGCCUUCGCCUCCAUAGGAAAGCGUCUUAGCCCUCUCGACCAGUGCGACCGCAACUAUUUAAUUUCUGUUUCGAAGUCUUUUAGUGCUUUCACGGGAUCUACUUUUCAGAUUAUAUUUACAGCACAACAGCGGAUGUUAAGUGCUGUGUGGCGGCCAUAAAAGUCGCCCCGACUUCAUCUCAGUGUUGAUGUAUUUUCUGGUCCUUCGGGAUCAUUGAUAUCAACUCAUUUAGAUUUGAAGAUUGAUUACUGCUUAAGCCGGUGAUAGGGGGCGUGGGCAGUGUUACAUUAUCCAUAACUGCUCAUGAACAGACUCAAUCAAACUGAGUCUGCAAUUUUCACUGUUUGUUAAAAUUGUUUUGUUCUCGGUGCUUCCAAGGGAUCUACUUUUCAGAUUAUAUUUAUAUUUUUAACUAUAUAAGUAUUAAAUCAGAGCUUCAGAUAAGCUGCGUACUUAUGAAAAUAAAUUUUCAGAAAACCUGAUUGAAUUAAUAAAAUUAACUCAAGGGUGUAUCUAGCCGUCUGGGUUACCGAAUGCCUAGUCUGAGAUUUAGCCGAUCUGAGAUCCCUUUACCAAACUUAAUUCCAAGUCUGAAAGCUACAGUAAAACCAAUUCAAAUCUGGAAGAUAUCUCGUGUUUCUUUGUCAAUCCUCAGGCCUGUUUACAUGGAGAGGUGGCGAAUACCUUAAUUGGUCUGAUCCUCAUGCCAAGUAGGACAGGAGAGGUGGUACAAAUGCAUGUAGAUACCAAGAUUUGCAUGUCACUACUUAGUAUGUCAUUGUAAACUAAUUCCAAGUCUGAAAGCUACAGUAAAACCAAUUCAAAUCUGGAAGAUAUCUCGUGUUUCUUUGUCAAUCCUCAGGCCUGUUUACAUGGAGAGGUGGCGAAUACCUUAAUUGGUCCGAUCCUCAUGCCAAGUAGGACAGGAGAGGUGGUACAAAUGCAUGUAGAUACCAAGAUUUGCAUGUCACUACUUAGUAUGUCAUAGUAAACUAAUUCAAUUCUGAAAGCUAUAUAGUAGAACCAGUUCAAAUCUGGAAGAUAUCUCGUGUUUCUUUGUCAAUCCUCAGGCCUGUUUACAUGGAGAGGUGGCGAAUACCUUAAUUGGUCCGAUCCUCAUGCCAAGUAGGACAGGAGAGGUGGUACAAAUGCAUGUAGAUACCAAGAUUUGCAUGUCACUACUUAGUAUGUCAUUGUAAACUAAUUCCAAGUCUGAAAGCUACAGUAAAACCAAUUCAAAUCUGGAAGAUAUCUCGUGUUUCUUUGUCAAUCCUCAGGCCUGUUUACAUGGAGAGGUGGCGAAUACCUUAAUUGGUCCGAUCCUCAUGCCAAGUAGGACAGGAGAGGUGGUACAAAUGCAUGUAGAUACCAAGAUUUGCAUGUCACUACUUAGUAUGUCAUAGUAAACUAAUUCAAGUCUGAAAGCUAUAUAGUAGAACCAAUUCAAAUCUAGAAGAUAUCUCGUGUUUCUUUGUCAAUCCUCAGGCCUGUUUACAUGGAGAGGUGGCGAAUACCUUAAUUGGUCCGAUCCUCAUGCCAAGUAGGACAGGAGAGGUGGUACAAAUGCAUGUAGAUACCAAGAUUAGUCACUACUUAGUAUGUCAUAGUAAACUAAUUCAAGCCUGAAAGCUAUUACCUGUUUCUUUUGUCAAUCCUCGGGCCUGUUUACAUGGAGAGGUGGCGAAUACAAUGUACCUUAAAUGGUAUGAUCCUUGUGCAAAGUAGAACUAAGAAGAGGUGGUACAAAUGCAUGUAGAUACCAAGACUUGCAUGAUGUAAAUACUCAAAGUACUUCAUACAAUAUAGUAAAACUAAUUAAUUUAGUUGGGUUUUACAGCACACCAACACAGUAUAGGUUAAAAAAACCAAUUCAAUUCAAAUCUGAAAGCUAUCUCAUGUUUUUUGUCAAUCCUCAGGCCUGUUUACAUGGAGAGGUGGCAAAUACCUUAAAUGGUUCGAUCCUCAUGCCAAGUAGGACAGGAGAGGUGGUACAAAUGCAUGUAGAUACCAAGACUUGCAUGAUGUAAAUACCUAAGUUUGUCAUACGUAGUAAAAACCAGUUCAAAUCUCGUGUUUCUUUGUCAAUCCUCAGGCCUGUUUACAUGGAGAGGUGGCGAAUACCUUAAAUGUUACGAUCCUCGUGCCAAGUAGGAUAGAUUAGGAGAGGUGGUACAAAUGCAUGUAGAUACCAAGACUUGCAUGAUGUAAAUAUUUAAUCCCAAUAUUAUUGCACAUUCGGUAGCAAAGAUGUUGACACCACAUGUCGUCUGAUGAUGACUUUUACGGGAUGGAAUAAGGUUUGGUCAUUGUAUUCCCUGAAAGGAAUGAGAGGAGAAAAGUAACUGGAAGACCUGGCUAUCUGCAGGCCAAUGCUGGCUGCAGGUCAAUAUUGAAUGCUCUUAUGAAAACUCAUGACAAUAACAAAAAAAAGAAGCUGAGGAUGCUGUUUUUAAAACAUGCUCCAUUCAAAAAAGGUGGAUUGAAAUUUAAGAAAGGUGUGACGGGUGCGUCUGCUGCAGGCAGGGAGGAUUUGACGGUCAGCCAGAGGAUUUGGAGAUAUACUGUAAUGUCUUUAAUGUGGACUUGCGUGUGAUUUAAGUUUUCACAAGGGUUUUAGUGUGUGUGAAAGUAUGUCAGUUUUCGAAAUUGAGCUAUGUCAAUUUGCUCAAACUACAUAACUUAAAGAACUUUGAAGCGGUCUUGUUGACGUCAUGAGCUUUUGUUUAAUACCAGUAUUGGUGAUAUAGGCCCAUGAUUAUAUACUGUAGAAAGCGAACAAGUUCACUGCUCGAUACAGAUAGUCAUAUAGCCUGAUCUCUGAAUGAUAUUUAUGAACCAAAAGAAGGCAUAAAAUAAAAACAUACAGUAGUGAUUUGAAUUAUUGAUAUUGUUAAACUAGAUCUGGGCCAGUAUUCAUAAAGGAUCUUAGUAAAAAAAAAUAUCUAGAA